rnacentral:rRNA from 2 species
GGUUCACCCAUUGGUCAGGCUUAAUUGUCUGCACUGGUGAGAUGAGUCUCUACCUUCUGAGGAACUUUCAUGUCAUUAAUUUGGUGUGAUUGGAAAUCAGGACUGUUACUUUGAAAUUAGAGUGUUUAAAGCAGGCUAACGUCUGAAUACAUUAGCAUGGAAUAAUGAAAUAGGACGGACUGAUUCUAUUUCGUUGGUUUCUAGGAUCACCGUAAUGAUUAAUAGGGAUAGUUGGG